CCUCCAGCACUGGUCGCGGCCCUCCCCCUGGCUUGGUCCCUGCAAGGACGCCCUUUCCAGGGAGACAGACCCCCGCUGCUUGCCAGGUACAGUGAGAUGGGGGUCGGUGCUCUGAUGAAUGAGUAAAGGCUUUAGGGGGUCAGGUCACCUACAUUCAGCCCUGAAUGCACCAGGGAGGUGCCCGAGAGCGGGACCCCACCCCCCCACACUGAGCUCAGGGACCCCCCCCACUCGGGGACCCCCUGCCCCCCAACACUGAGCUCGGGAAGGUGGGCCGGCUCCAACCUGGCCUCUGGGCCCUCCUGCCGGAGGCUGCUUGCCCUGAUCCGAGGCUCAGGCCUCUGGUGGGCAAGGAGCUCUGAUGGCACUGGGCCUGCACACCUGCCGGGAAGACGGACACCUGGUCCGGGGCCUUCACAUGUCCCCGCACACCCGGCCCCCAGGAGCCUGAGCCGGCUCAUUGGCAGGAGGGCAAGGAGGGCCGUCUGUCCCGCCCCCUGUGGCCCCCGGGCCCCACCCGAGCCUGGGCUGUGGGGAAGGGGUAGGACCCUGAAGAGGAGAAGCCAGACGCUGGUGUCAGGCGGCGGCUCCUCUCUGGGCCGCAGAUGCCCUGGGUCCUGGGGCCCGUGACCGGGAGGGCCGGGAGGCUCCAGCCCUGGGCCAGGCGGGGCAGGGGCUCCUGACACCCGGGUAAGCCCACCCCUUCCUCACCGCGUGGGCGGGGCCUGGAGAAGCCUGGACUGGGGCUCCUGUCUUGGCAUGGCCUAUCUGAGGGGAGGGUGUGGGGUAGAGUCCACAGCUCGCCCCGGAGCCUCCCUCGGAGUUGCCCCAAGCCUCCCAAGCCUCCCUGUCGCUGGCUCCUGCUCACCCCAGGCCCCCCACUCCCCAGCCCGGAGCCAGCCCAAAGGGUCCUUUCCGUCUGGAGGGAACCAGACGCCCCUGAGCCCGGGGCCCAUGACCCAGACCGGUGUGCCCAUCCAGGCCCACUCUGGCCCCGUGCCAACUCCAGGCCUUUCUCUGCACAGCCACCAGGCUGUCCUGGCUAACCAAGCGACCAGCCGUCUCACUGGAGCCACUUCCACCUAGGCGCCCACUCCCUUAGACAGCACCCCAGCCUCCCCUCGGUCCCCAAAGGUGCAGGGGGUCCCCCACCUCCCGAGGGCCUGCUCCCUCCAGGACUAUGGGGGCGAAAGGGAUGGGGAGUCCUCCACCAGGGGCCCCAGAGGCAGGUCCACGUCAGCCAUUUCCUUUCAGCUCUCUGCAUUUUUAAUAAUAAGUCAAAUAAAUCCCUCAUGUUAAAAAUAUUCUGAGCCACUUUAAACAUUUGUCAUAGAGUUAAACGGAAAUCUAAUAAAAUCUGUGAAAAGUAUUUUUAAAACAGCUUUAUCGAGGUAUAAUUUACAUACCAUGAAGUCCACCCACUUUCAACAACUUCAAUGAGCCGCCCACAAUUCAAUGGUUUUAGUGAAAUUUCCGUGCAGCCUCCACCACACGGUCCAAUUUUAGCAGGUUUGACGACCUCCUGUCCUCGUGAGCAGUCACGCGUCCCCCACCCCAGCCCCCGGCGACCACGCUCCUGCUUCCUGUCCUCAGAGACUUGCCUUUUUUGGACAUUUCACAUAAACAGAGUCUACACCUUGUAGUGUCUGCUGUCUGGCUGCUUUUCCCAAGCACACGCGUUUUGAAGCUCAUUCCCGAUGUAAUGGGUCCACAGUUCAUCCCCGUAACAACAUUCCAUGGUGAUGGUACUGUUGUUCAGUUGCAUCCAACUCUGAGACCCCAUGGACUGCAGCACGCCAGGCCUCCCUGUCCAUCGCCAACUCCCAGAGCUUGCUCAGACUCAUGUCCACCGAGUCGGUGAUGCCCUCCAGCCAUCUCAUCCUCUGCCGUCCCCUUCUCCUCCCGCCUCCAAUCUUUCCCAGCAUCAGGGUCUUUUCCAAGAGUCGGCUCUUCGCAUCAGGUGGCCAAAAGAUUGGAGCUUCAGCAUCAGUCCUUCCAAUGAAUAUUCAGGACUGAUGUCCUUUAGGAUGGACUGGUUGGAUCUCCUUGAUGUCCAAGGGACUUUGUAGAGUCUUCUCCAACACCACAGUUUGACAGCAUCAGUUCUUUGGCUCUCGGUCUUCUUCAUGGUCCACUCUCACAUCUAUACGUGACUAUUGGAAAAUGCCAUCGUAGGGAGCCAUUUUGCUUACCCAUUCACUAGCUGACAGAUGUUUGGUUGUUUUCCCCCACAUGUUAGCUCUUAUGAAUAAGCUUCUUAUGAACACGCAUGUACACGUCUCCAUGUGCACAUCCGUUGUCGUCUCUCUUAGGUAGAUGAUUCGGAAUGGGACUGCUGGGUCAUCUGCGUGUAACUUUUGAAGAAACUGGCUCUACACUUUGUGUCCACACCAACAAUAUACGAGGUUUCCAGUGUUCCCUUGUCAUGACCUUGACCUUGUCAUGACCUUCCCUUGUCAUGACCAUGACCUUGUCAACGCUUGUUAUCAUCUUUCAUUUUGGUUACCCUCCUAGCGGGUGUGACACUGUUUUGCAUUUGGUUUCAAUCUGAAUUUUCCCAAUAACUAAUGAUGUUGAGCAUCUUCUCACAUUUGAUUAGACAUUUCACCAAAGAAGAUACCCACUCUGCCUGUUUUUCACUUGGGCUGCUUUUCUUACUGUUCUUUAAAAUUUUUAUAUAUGUUUGGGAAAUGAAUGAAAGUCACUGAGUCGUGUCCAAUUCUUUUCGACCCCAUGGACUAUACAGUCCAUGGAAUUUUUCAGGCCGGAAUAUUGGAGUGGGUAGCCUUUCCCUUCGGGGGAUCUUCCCAACCCAGGGAGGAGCCCCGGUCGCCAGCAUUGUAGGCGGAUUCUUUACCAGCUGAGCCACAGGGAAGCCCAUAUAUGUUUGUGAAUUGUGGUAAAAUAUGCAGAACAAUGUUAAGUGAAUGAUUGUCUUAUUUUGAGUUGAGUGUUCUUUAUAUAAACAUACAGGACAAUUGUAGGUGGGUGUUUGUCUUGUUCGGAGUGUUCUUUUACAUAUAUAUAUGACUUGUGGACACUUACCCCAGUUUGGUCUCACUGCUGGUGUUUGAAACACAAAACAUCUCCUUCUGACCAAGCCCAAUCUGUUUCCCACUGGAUUCUGUCUUAAGUGCUAUACGGGAACACUACGCAUAGCUCAGGGGCGCAGAGAUUUUCUCUGACUUUUUAAAGGCUUUAUAGCUUUAGCUCUUUCAUUUAGGUUUAUGGCUCAUUUCAAGUUAAUUUUUGUGUAUGGUGUGAGGUGAGGUCCAAACUCCUCUGUCAGCGUGUGGAUAUCCACUUGUCAUGGCACCAUUUACUGAACAACUAUCCGUUCCCCACUGAAAAGUGUGGAACCUUUGCCAGGAGUCAUUUGAUCGUGAAUCCAUGGGCUUACCUCUGGACUUUCAACCCUGUUCCACUGACCUGUGUGUCAACUCUUACCCAAAACACGCUGCUUUACUGCUGUAGCUUUAUUGUAAGUUUUACAGUUGGAAACGGUAAAUUCUCCAACCUUGUUCCCUGAAAAAACUGUUUUGGCUAUUUUGUGUCCUUUACGUUUCCACACACUUCUAUGGUCAGAUUAUUAAUUUCUGGCCCCCUUAAACCUGCUUACAUUUUGAUAGGGGUUGGAGGUGUGUGUGCUCAGUCACGUCUGGCUCUUCUGUGACCCCAGGGACUGUACCCACCAGUCCACGUCUCCGUCCAUGGGAUUUCCCAGGCAGGAAUCCUGGAGAGGGUUGUCAUGCCCUCCUCCAGGGGAUCUUCCCAACUCAGGGAUUGAACCCACAUCUGCGUUGGCAGACAGAUUCUUUACCACUAGCACUAACCCUAACCCUAACCCACCUGAGAAGCCCAGGGAUUGCAUUCAAUCUGUUAAUCCAUUUGGGGAGUAUUGGUAUUUUAUCAAUGUUGAGUCUUCCCCCACAAACUCUGGGAGACAGUGAAGGACAGGGAAGGCUGGCGUGCUGCAGUUCGUGAGGUCGCAGAGUCAGACAUGACUUUGCGACUGAACAACCACUCCCAUGAACACUGACCGUCUCCCUGCUUAUCUAGACCUCUUUAAUCUCUUUUAGAAAUGCUAUGAGAUUUACGUGUACAAGUCUUGCCUCCUUUUGUUAAACUUACGCCUAUCCAUUUCAUUUUUUUCUGAUGCUAUUGUAAAUGAAAUUGUUUUCUCAAUUUCCUCUUUGGCUUGUUCAUUGCUAAUCCAUGGAAAUGCGGUUGGAUUUUGUAUGUUGAUUUUGGGGGCUGGAACCUUGCUGAACUCACUCAUUAGCAGCUUUCUUCCUCUCUGACCUCUUGCUAUUUGGCCCCAAAUGCGUCACAAAUGCAGAAAUGGAUGGUUUCUGGUGAAGGAAAAGGGAACCUUCAGGUAAGUGGAAAGUACCAGGAAAACAACGGAGAGGAAGACAUUUAGGGAAAUGACACCAGAAGCUUUAAAGUCUUGAACUCCUGCUCUUGCCACUAGCCCAAGUGUGCGUGGAUCUGACCCUAAUUAACGUACAAAAUGACUGGAAAACUGAUCCGACCAGCAGACCUCCACCCAGGUCUCAGGCUAAGCACGAGGCAUGCACACGCAGACAGGCCUGAUUAGAACAGCAAACUCUGAAUAUCAGCAAACACUGGAACCAGAGCCCAUAGGAAACCAGCACUCUCCACGGGCGGGGGGAGACCCACAACACUCACACGUCGGGGGCAGAAGCUGAAGUCACCUGUGUCCAAAGAAUGCAAAAUCCCAACUCACACAAGGAAAGACAAUAGAUGCAGAUGAUGGGCUGCCACAGAUAAUUUGGAUUAUCUGAUUGGGACCCUAAACCAGCUUUUAACCAGAAACUGCAAACAGCCUUGACAAAAUAUUAACAGAAUGACUCAGCAAAGAAAUAGAAAGAUACAAAGAGGCAAAUGGAAAUUUUGGAACUGAAAAAUUCAAUAAGUGAGACAAAACAAAACUUACUGGGUGGUUUCGCUAGCAGAGUGGAGAUGACAGAGGAAGGAAUCAUUGAACUUGAUAUAUCAGUAGAAAUUAGUCUAAGAAAUAGAGAUGUUAAGGAAUGAACAGUCUCAGGGACCGCCAGGGCCGUGACAAACGGGCUGGAUUUGUGCUACUGGAGUCCCUGAAGAAAGAAGAGAGGCUGCGGGGCUGGGAAAACCUGUCGAGGAAAUGACAGCAGAAAACUAAAGAAGAAAUGGGUUUCCCUGAUGGCUCAGUGGUAAAGAAUCCACCUACCAAUGCUAAGACUCGGGUUGGAUCCCUGGGUUGGGAAGAGCCCCCCGAAGAAGGAAACGGCAGAAUUCCAUCGACAGAGAGCUGCAGUCCAUGAGGUUGCAAAGAGCUGGGCAUGACUGAGCAACUAAACAAGAGCAAGGAAGAAAUACUGACAAUACCAAGUGCUGUCGAGGAUGUGAGGCAACUGAACACUCGAGUGCUGAUGCUGUGAGGCAGAGCCACGUGGCCACUCCGGGAGGUGCUUUCUCAGUUUCUUACGCAGGUGACUGUGUACUUACUGCCAGACACAGCAACCCUGCCCAGGCAUUUAACCUAGAGAAAUGGAAAUGUGCAUUCACACGGAAACCUGUACCCGACCAUGGCUAGAGGCUGUAUUUGUAACAGCUGAAAACAACCCAGACAUCUUUCAGUGGGUGAACUGUGGUGAUCUACGCCAUGGAAUACAACUGCAUCACAAAAGAAACAAGCUGUGACUCACACAACGUCCCAGAUGAAUCUCCAAGGUGUUACAGAGUAAGAGAGACCAGCCCCAGUUGUCUUCUGCCUGAGUCCAUCCAUGGAGAACAUCAGUGGUUGCCAGGGGUUACGGGUGGAGAGAAGUGUGCCCCAGUUACGGCAGGGGCAAUUUGGGGGUGAUAUAACUGUGUGUGUCCUGUGACAGUGACAGCCAUCCAAAUGUGUUAAAAUUCAGAAAACUGUACACCAAAAUCAAAAAGUCAAUUUUAAUUGGGGGGGGAGGAUAAAUAACAUUUUGCGGUACACCUGAAGCUAACACAACAUUGUAAAUGAACUAUACUCCAAUAUAAAAUAAAAAUUAAAUCAAAAUGUCAAUUUUACCAUUUAAGAAUCAAAGUGAG
ensembl:lncRNA